GCUCCGCGAGAGCGGCUGCAGGCGUUGGACAUUCACCGCGGACUGCGCGAUCGUGUGUUGUUGACUCCAGGCGACAGGGCUGCUGUGCUGUAGGCGAACUUGUGCCCGAGAGCUCUUUCUGCACAGGGUCGAGAAGGUCUAUGCUGGUAGUGGAGGACUGUAAAGUAUGUUUAUUGUCUUUGCACAGCCUGAGGUUGCUGACUCUGGCAAUUUGGUAAAAGAAAGAAAGAAAGAAAAAAAAAAAAUCCCAGCAUGAAUAGCAGAAGAGGCUUUGGAGGAGUUACUUCACCGAAACCUGAAACUUGGGAAACUCCAUUUUGAAAAUGCCAGAGUGCCCAUCCCAAAUAUUAUUGAAGACGUUGAAGUCAGGUUCAAGGACAUUUGUCUCUCUUCUUUCUUCAAACGAUGGUGGCAAGACAUAAUAUUUGACUGGAUUGGAGAAUUGGAAGUUUUUCUCCUGGACAGCUGUCAAACCUGAAGUAGAACACAAGCAGUGGAGGAUCUCUAAAGGACCUUAAAGGAAAAGACUUUUAGGGGUGAGUCCCAAAAACUCUUCCCAUGGGAUCAAA
rnacentral:lncRNA from 1 species